UAAUGAUGGUGAUGUAAAAAUAGUUGGGAAUAAUUUUAAUGAGAUUGUCUUGGAUGAAUCAAAAGAUGUUCUCCUUGAGGUUCAUUUGUGAAGAAACUAAGUGGUACGGGAAAGACGAUUCUGAUUUGCACCAGCCCGGAUCUCAAUAAUUUUGGAGUCGGGUUGUGUGGAAUGGGUAGUUGAAUUUGAGCCUUCAGUAUUCGUAGAUUGUGAGCAGUGUGGGAUAUAAUAAGAUUUGCAGUUCUGCAUUGUACCUUUAUUUAGUUCUCUGUAGAUAUGUUUUGGUUGUUGUCUGAUGUAGAAAACAGGCUGAGGCGGCAUUGUAUGAAGCUGGGUCUGAUGUUGUCUUUUGGUUGUUGAUUUCUAAUUUCCGGUUCCGUCGAUAUCUGUAUUGAACAACUCUUUAUAGGUAGCUUGCAUUCUAUUUUUGAUAAUUCCAAAAUACUUUUUGGUGUUCUGAUGAAUUCUAAUCAAAUCAAUAAAUUUUGUAGCUUGCAGAUCACAAACGGCUAUUGCUCCACUCAAGCGAAUGAAAAUUUUGCUACAGGUGUUUGCAAGUAGAUCAGGAGCAACAACAUUAAGAAGAAUGAAAGCAGCAGGCAGUUCUAGCCAAUCUGCGAUAUUAGAAAUUAUUCCGGGGAAAGUGUUUUGUGGUUUUCUUUCUUUUCUCAUUAUUUCAUUAGUGGUAGUUAUGUUGUGGGAUGCAUAAUUGGAGGAUGACUUAUAUUUGGAUCCGGUAAUUGGUAGUGGAGUGUUGUAUCUGUUUUUCGGCGUAGUUGCGAAUUAGAUUUGAAGUCUGUUUUUUGUUUUGUUUCAGUAUGUGUGUUAAC